rnacentral:rRNA from 1 species
UACAGAGGGGGCAAGCGUUGUUCGGAAUUACUGGGCGUAAAGGGCGCGUAGGCGGCCUGUUAAGUCGAACGUGAAAUCCCCGGGCUCAACCCGGGAACUGCGUCCGAUACUGGCAGGCUUGAAUCCGGGAGAGGGAUGCGGAAUUCCAGGUGUAGCGGUGAAAUGCGUAGAUAUCUGGAGGAACACCGGUGGCGAAGGCGACAUCCUGGACCGGCAUUGACGCUGAGGCGCGAAAGCCAGGGGAGCAAACGGG